AUACGGAGGGUGCAAGCGUUAUCCGGAAUCAUUGGGUUUAAAGGGUCCGCAGGCGGAUUAAUAAGUCAGUGGUGAAAUCCUCUCGCUCAACGAGAGAACUGCCAUUGAAACUGUUAGUCUUGAAUUCGGUCGAAGUAGGCGGAAUGUGUCAUGUAGCGGUGAAAUGCAUAGAUAUGACACAGAACACCGAUAGCGAAGGCAGCUUACUAGACCUGGAUUGACGCUCAUGGACGAAAGCGUGGGGAGCGAACAGGAUUAGAAACCCUUGUAGUCC
rnacentral:rRNA from 1 species